rnacentral:rRNA from 1 species
CCUACGGGUGGCAGCAGUGGGGAAUAUUGCACAAUGGGGGAAACCCUGAUGCAGCGACGCCGCGUGAGCGAUGAAGUAUUUCGGUAUGUAAAGCUCUAUCAGCAGGGAAGAAAAUGACGGUACCUGACUCAGAAGCCCCGGCUAACUACGGUCCAGCAGCCGCGGUUAUACGGAGGGGGCAAGCGUUAUCCGGGUUUUCUGGGGGUAAAGGGGGCGUAGACGGGGGUGCAAGCUAGAGGUGAAAGCCCGGGGCUCAACCCCGGGACUGCAUUGGGAACUGUGCGGCUAGAGUGUAGGAGAGGCAGGCGGAAUUCCUAGUGUAGCGGUGAAAUGCGUAGAUAUUAGGAGGAACACCAGUGGCGAAGGCGGCCUGCCGCAGCGUUACUGACGCUGAAGCUCGAAAGCGCGGGUAGCGAACAGGAUUAGAUACCCCGGUAGUC